rnacentral:rRNA from 1 species
GAGAUUAUUGGGCCUAAGCAUCCGUAGCUCGUUUUGUAAGUUUUCGGUUAAAUCCAUGCGCUUAACGUAUGGGCUGCCGGGAAUACUGCAUAACUAGGAAGUGGGAGAGGUAGACGGUACUCGGUAGGAAGGGGUAAAAUCCUUUGAUCUAUUGAUGACCACCUGUGGCGAAGGCGGUCUACCAGAACACGUUCGACGGUGAGGAAUUGGCGGGGGAGCACAA